ACACGACAUAAAUAGAUUUACAUAAAGGAAAAUUUUCAUUUAUGCUCAACUCAGUAAUCGAGCGAGCCAGAUAAUUCUCAAAAAUCAUUUUCUUCUUCAUUUGAUUAAUAUAAUUAAGAAAAUAAGAGCUUCUACAGUUAAAAGAAUGCAUUGCUAUGUGACACCAUGACUAUAUAUUAUUCACAUGUAUCAAGACUUUCUGCUUUUCUUUUCUUUUCUUGCUCCAAAUUAUAAGCACUACAAAGAAUGCUGGCUAGUCAUGUUCGAUCUUGAGUCCAAAUCCAAUAGGAUAUUUUCGUUUCUGGAGCAAGAGCGAGCCACAGAAUUUAUGGAGAUGGAGCUAGAAAAACAAUUCCAUUGAGCUUAACAGUCAAGGUGUUGGUAAUUCAGCUUCAGCUGCUUGCCUGCUUUUCCAAAUGACUGGAGCCACUAGCAUCCAUACUGCAUUAUCAGAAGUCUUUGUUUAUAGAACAAUGGUAGGAAGUGAGGUGAGGGCCAAACAAAGCCUUAUAAGUUUGCUCAUAAUAUAAACAAGC
rnacentral:lncRNA from 1 species